GCCAGCGGCCAUAUCACCCUGCAACUCACAACUGGCAGCCCACUGAAGCUAAGCAGGUGUGAGCCUGGUCAGUACCUGGAUGUGAGACCUCCUGGGAAAAACUAAGGUUGCUGCUGGAA
rnacentral:rRNA from 1 species